AAUCCUAGCACUCAGGAGGCAGAGGCAAGCAGAUCUCUGGAACUUUGAGGCCAGCCUGGUCUACAUAGUAAGUUUCAGGCCCGCUAGGGCUAUGUAGAUAUACUCUGUCUCAAAACAAAAAUAAAAACAAAAACCAAGUACUUUCCUAUUUGCUAUCAUUCUUAGAUGCUGUGCAGCAGAGGCCGCCAUCAUUUCCACCCUAGGGAAGGAAUUAAAUUCUAAGAGAAGUGACUCAUCAAGACCCCACAGCCUAUGGGCUGGAACUUCCUUCACUGUGGCAGCUCAUGAGAGUAUUGGAUUGUUGCCAGUUUGACACGGUUUCUUCAUUCAUUCCUGUAGAAAGCCUUCCCCCAACGCCUCAUGGUCUCUCUGUGAGUGCCGUCUUCCUCCCCACACACCGGCUUUGGAACCUAUGCGAUCCCCAUCUCUGUGUGGACAACAGUGUACUCUGACAGUUACAGAACCUUGCAGUGUUUGGCGAAGAAUCAAGCUGUAAAUAAGGAAUCUGCAAACAUCCAGAGCUUGCUGUAUUAUAUUUUAUCCUGUGGUCCCUGUGACAGCUGAGCUCGGUUGUCAACUUGAGUACAUCCGAAAUCAACUAAGAAAACCAGAGCCGCUGGGAACCCCUAUGAGGGGUUUUCUUAACCAGGUUACUUGAAGCAGGAAGAUCCACCCUACCUAAAUCUGGGCCAUGCUUUCUGGUGGCCACGGAAGUAAAAGGGCGUGGAAGGAAGGGGACUUUGUUUUCUCCCUGCUUGCUUUCACGCUUGCUAGCGAAGUCGUUCAUCCUGUCGCUGCAGCUUGUACUAAGUCCUAACUUCUUCAGGAUUCUGACAUAGACCAAAGGCAAGUAGCUCUCCUGAAAUCCUCCAGGACUGCAGCACCAGUUGGGACUGCCAAGAUAUCUAUCAAGUAUGGGAUUCUUAGCCUUUCUGCUUUGAGGCAACCAUUGCAAACCUAGCUAGACCACAGCCUGUAAGCCACUGUAAUAAAUCUGCUUUAAAUACAUAAUUAACUAAUAUAAUUGUUUAAUAUGUUAUAUGAUCAGUUUUCUUUCUUAGUUUCUUUGCUUCUUUUCUUUCUUUAUUGAGACAGAGUUUCUCUAGACUAGGCUGUCCUCAAACUCAGAGAUUCACUGGCCUCUGCUUCCCAAAUACUGUGAUUAAAGGUUUGCGCCACCACCGCCCUGCAGUUCUCUUUGAGAGAACCUUAACACAUCCUUCCUCCUUCUAGUCUCUAAGGCCUGUAUGUUGACUCUCUUCUCAACUUCCAUAUCUUGGUGGGGAGGCUAUGGCUUUGCUCAGCUCUGCAUUGUCCUUAUUUGUUUGUUUGUUUUUCAAGAUGAGGUUUCUCUGUGUCACCUUGGCUGUCCUGGAACUUACUCUGCAGACCAGGCCUUGAACCCAAAAGAUUGGCUUGUCUCUGCCUCCCCCGUGCUGGGAUUAAAGGUGUGGGUUAUCAUCACCAGGCUAAAUUCCUAUUUAGUAUAAGAUGUGUUCAAUAGGUGCUUAGCCAGUGAGUAACUAGUGGGUAGAUCAGAGCACAGGUGACAAGGACAAAGUGCUUGGCAGAGUGGGGAACCUAGUGACAGCAUGAGUGAGUGGAGAAAGGUGACUCGGUGAACACAAAUUGAAGCCCUUAAUGGAGGGACACUGGUUUCCUGCCAAAGACUGUAUGAUGGCAGCGACCAAAUAGUCCAGAGAUGAGUCCAGAAUGGGGCAGCCUGAUGGACGGCAUUAGGAAAGAGUUGCCCCAUGUGUACUCCUGCUGAGUGUCCCUCUGUCCCUCCAUUGCUCCUACCUUCCUUCCCUCCCUCUCUUCCCUCUCUCCAGCCUACUGUCUGCCGCACUUCCAAGGAGACAGUAGUGUAAGAAGACCGAGGCAGGAAAUGCCUCGGAGGGCCAGAGCCAGGAAACCAAGCCAGUGACCGUCCCUUCUCCAAUCUUCUUGCCUCCCAUGACACCUCACCCCGAGCAGAUGCCUCCCCUGUCUUUCAGCCACAGAGCGGGAGUGUCUGUCAGGAGUUUGCAUAUUUAUUUGCUCUGUAACGUUUACAGGGAUUUAGUGUUUAAUAACUGUCACUCCAAUAUAUCUUUCCUUAAUCCCUUCAGAUCUGCCGCUGUAGCAAUUUUAAAUAUUUAUCAACACUGUUUGUGUGUUUGCUGGUUGGGCUGCAAUCUUCGUGUAAUUAAAGAUUUACAAGACUCAGUUUGAGAUUUGUGCAGGCUUGGUGAGAUUACAGGGGAAGGGAGGGGAGAUCUGG
rnacentral:lncRNA from 1 species